UUACGGCCAUAGCACGUUGAAACGACGGUUCCCGUAAGAUCACUGAAGUUAAGCAGCUAUGAAACUGAUCAGUACCUAGAUGGGUGAUUGCUUGGGGAUAUCAAGUGUUGUAA